rnacentral:rRNA from 1 species
UACAGAGGGUGCAAGCGUUGUUCGGAAUUAUUGGGCGUAAAGGGCGCGUAGGCGGUGCGGUAAGUCUGCAGUGAAAUCUCUGGGCUCAACUCAGAGUCUGCUGUAGAAACUGCCGUGCUUGAGUGUGGGAGAGGUGAGUGGAAUUCCCGGUGUAGCGGUGAAAAUGCGUAGAUAUCGGGAGGAACACCUGUGGCGAAAAGCGGCUCACUGGACCACAACUGACGCUGAGGCGCGAAAGCUAGGGGAGCAAACAGG